GGGGUGACUGGGAGGGUGUUUGUGUGCUCCAUUCCCUGGGAGUGUUAACCAUACCUCAGGCUCCGUCUUAGCUUCCAGGUUGCUCUCUGUGUGGCAAAGAGAGCGUCCUGUGUGUGCUCCUCGGCUGCCCGCGCUGCUCGGACAGCCCCCUCAGCCUCUGCCCAGCGGGAUCGGGGCCGGACGGAGAAGGCUGAGGCUGCCUGAGGCUGCGGCCCAUUUUCCUGCACGGGAUCAAACCUCUCCAUCCACCCCGGGCAGGCCGGAGCUGGCGGCUCCUCCAGGACUCCGGGAAGGUAGGAUGUUGGCAAGGGCAGGCUGGACCGGGCGUGCGGGCACCGCUUGCAGGGCCCUGUGCGCCCCCCACUCCGGGACUCUCAGCAGGAAGUGAUGCGGGAACGACUCAGCCCCCAGCCCCAGCUGGAGUUUCUUCCCUUCCCGGUGACUCAGCCGGAAGCCUGGAGCUCUCAGUCCUUCGGGGCGCCCAGGAGCUAACUUCCCAGAGCACCCACUAGGCAUUUAGUUGGAUCAGGACAUACGAUCCUGGCAAGGCUGUUGUGAUGUCGGUCCCACCAUCUGUGGCUUUCAGGAGGCCUUCCUGAAAUCCCCGCUGGACGAGGGCCCCUUCCCUGCCGGCCAUUUCCUUUUCACACCUCACAAGGCGUCACCGGUCACACCGUCCGAUGACGGGCUCUGUGCCAGUCUCCUCCACCGAGCUGAGCAUCCUGCAGCUUGGGAUGGUCUUAGUCAUGUUUUGAUCAUCUGGCCAGGCAGAGCACUGACCACUCAGUCCUGCGAGCUCAGGGCCUGCCCGGACAGAAGUGUGGCGGCUGCGAAGUGCCACAGGGAGACCGGAGAGAGGCCACAAGGGCUGCAUAGGGCCCCACGGUGCCCACGUGGGAGUCCUGACUUUCCUCACUGACCGGCUGUGCCAUCCUGACCAGGGACCCGGCAUCUCUGACAGGGAGCCCUCACGGCAGCUGCUGGAAAGCCCGAAUAAAUGCAGCACGUAGAGGUGCUAAACCCCGCUCCCAGCUGCAUGCCCCUGACGAUGUGAGUUGGCGUUCCAGGCCCCAGGCCCCUCGUACGUGCAAGAUGGCUCAAUGCCACGUCCGGUGCCCGGCACACAGUGGGUGGGGGCUCCGUCCUGGGAGCACUCAUCAGAGGAGUUGAGAGGAGGCCAGAAAGGA